rnacentral:rRNA from 1 species
CAGUAGCCACGGUAAUGCGAGGGGUGCAAGCGUUGUUCGGAUUGAUUGGGUGUAAAGGGUGUGCAGACGGCUUAUUAAGUCACUUGUUAAAUUCUUCGGCCUAACUGAAGGUCUGCAAGUGAUACUGAUGAGCUAGAGGGUGGAAGAGAGAAGUGGAAUUCUCGGAGUAGCGGUAAAAUGCGUAGAUCUCGAGAGGAACACCAAUGGCGAAGGCAGCUUCUUGGUCCAUUCCUGACGUUCAUACACGAAAGCGUGGGGAGCAAACAGGAUUAGAUACCCGGGUAGUCCCUGUCUCUUAUAC